UACGUAGGGUGCGAGCGUUGUCCGGAAUUAUUGGGCGUAAAGGGCUCGUAGGCGGUUUGUCGCGUCGGGAGUGAAAUCCACUGGCUUAACUGGUGGCUUGCUUUCGAUACUGGAUGGCUUGAGUUCGGGAGAGGGAUGCGGAAUUCCAGGUGUAGCGGUGAAAUGCGUAGAUAUCUGGAGGAACACCGGUGGCGAAGGCGGCACCCUGGACCAGCACUGACACUGAGGCACGAAAGCGUGGGGAGCAAACAGG
rnacentral:rRNA from 1 species